rnacentral:rRNA from 1 species
GACGGAGGAUGCAAGCGUUAUCCGGAAUGAUUGGGCGUAAAGCGUCCGCAGGUGGCAGUUCAAGUCUGCUGUCAAAGACCGGGGCUUAACUUCGGAAAGGCAGUGGAAACUGAACAGCUAGAGUAUGGUAGGGGCAAUCGGAAUUCUUGGUGUAGCGGUGAAAUGCGUAGAUAUCAAGAGGAACACCUGAGGUGAAGACGGGUUGCUGGGCUGACACUGACGCUGAGGCGCGAAAGCCAGGGGAGCAAACGGG